rnacentral:lncRNA from 1 species
GAGACUUUGCAGACAGAAGCAACCUGGGUGCAAGGCCCUGCCCUGCCUAUGAAUGGGGAUUACUUCUGCUUCCUAAAAGUUUUCUAGGUGUCAGACAACCCUGGAACCAAGAAUCUCCAAUCACGUUUCUCUGAAACUCUGGUUUCCCUGAAACUUUUAGUUACACGGUGAAGUUACUGGAUACAUGUCCUGUUCAAGGUAUUUGCCUACACUCUUCAAGAGCCUUUGAUCCAUUGAGAACUGAAGGUUCAUAG